AUUUUUAGCAGUCUCUGAUGAUGAUUCAUCCAUAUAUGACAAUUAUAUGAUAGUUCAAACCUCUAAGAAGUUGACUGAAGAGGCUGCUAAUUU